AAUUCAACAUAAGAGAUUACACUCACAUAUAAAUACUUACUUAUUUGUGUUCGAGAUCAAAUUCCGAACACCCUGUUUAUUGUCUCAAGCGGAAUUCUACCCGGACUGGACAAACAAAAAGAAUUUGGUUUGAAGAGCGAACACCCAACACCCCAGCCCCGGGUAGAACAGACUCGUACCAAGCAUUGACCUUCUUGGUAUUCCCCUCAUCCUGGUUUCUCCUUCUGUUUUUGAUUCGAAACCCAGAAUCUAUGUUUGUUCUAUUCUAAUAUCUAUGUCUUCUUUUUCCUGCUUCCAAACCUAAAAUAAAAUCCUUUCUUUUCAUGUCUUAUUCUUGCUAUUCAUGCACGCAACAUGUUUGUUAAAUUGAAAAGCCUAGUCCUACUACACAAACCUUAUGCAAUGCUAUCCCUCAAGUUGUUACGCUCUCUUCCUUUAAAUUCUAACUCACUUCAUUCUUUUCUGUGUUCAUUUUCUUCUUUAUCAACCCCAAUUAACCAAUCUUCAAACGAAGAAACCACUUUUCUUUUUAACCUCCUUAAUUCCAAUUCCAAAUUACAUAAAUCUGAAUCCAUCUAUGUAUCUAAACUUGUUUUAGGAAUCACUUCCCCUGAAAAGCCCUUAUCUGUAAUCAACUUUUUCAAACAAAUUGGAUUUUCUCAAACUCAGAUUCACUCCAUCAUUCAUCAGAGAACUCAAGUACUCUUUUCAAAGGUUGAUAAAACUCUUAAACCUAAAGUUGAACUCUUUCAACAAUUGGGUUUUCAGGGUUCUCAAUUAGGUCAUUUUCUUUCUAAGAAUCCAAACAUUUUGAUUGCUAGUUUGAACAAAACAUUGGUCCCCUCUGUGGAAGUUAUUAAGAAAUUUGUACGGAAUGAGAAGGAUCUUAAUCGUGUUUUGUACAAAUGUGGCUGGAUACUCCCGCAGUACCGAUUAUUUGUUGCCAACAUUGCUUUCUUAGAGAGUUGUGGCAUUGUUGGGAAUCAGGUUUUGAUUAUACUCAAAUGUUACUCAAGGAUUUUGAUUGAACCACAAUCUCGUAUUAGAAACUAUAUUUCCCAAGCUGAAGACCUGGGUUUCCCUCAAAAUUCAAGAAUGUUGGUUCAUGCACUUCAUACGUUAUAUUGUUUGAGCCAUAAAACAUUUGAAAAAAAGCUUGAUUUUAUUCAGCAUUUUGGGUUUUCUAAAGAUCAGAGCUUGCGAAUGUUCAAACAUGUUCCAGCUUUGCUUAGGUCAUCGGAGAAGAAAUUAAAGGUUGGAAUUGAGUUCUUCUUACAUACAGUUAUGCUGCCAAAGUCAACAUUGGUUAGUCAGCCUGCGAUUUUGAUGUAUAGCAUGGAGGAUCGAGUGUUUCCUCGCUUUAGAGUUUAUCAGCUUUUAAAAUCACAAAAUCUAUGUCAGAAGCUUCCAAGCUUUGUUACUGUGUUAUCUUUUUCUGAGGACAUGUUCUUGGACAGGUUUAUAUCAAGGUGUAAAGAAAAAGCAGAGGCGUUAGUGAUAGCUUACAAGGGGCAUUGUCUAGAAAUACUUUGCUCCACUUGUAGACAAUCUGUUUCUAAGAGCACUUGUCAGUUGUUUAGAGUUUAAAGUCAUUAACAUGCCUGCUGCCUUGGCGUUCUUUGGUUAUGUUUUGCCUAUUGGUGUACUGUGAAUGCUUGGACGAAAUCUCCUUUAUCAUCCCAACACCAAUUCCAUAAUAGUUCUGGUUGACAGACAGUGCAGCGUCUAUUUUGCAUUUUACAAAACCUGGUUUUGGUUUUGGCAUCUACAAUUUUCCUCCUGCCGCGUGCUUUACAAACUCUAUGGACACUGCCCACCGCUUUGAUUCAAAAGCCCGUCAUAAUUGCGCUAUAGAACGAAAGGAAGGAUAUUGAGGGCUGUAGUUGGACAGUGUCGAAAACUUUCAUUAGCAGAUUUUACCCAACUGAUGUAUGUUGAUUUUUAAGUGGUUUCAUUAUUGCCUUCUGUACAAUUUUUGUUUAUUUUUGUGUAACAGUUCUUUUAGAUGUAAGAUGGAGUUUAUAAGAGAAGCAAUUCUACUUGUGUAUAUCAGAAUUUCAAAAUGACUCGUGUAUGGAACUGUUACUCCCUAGUUUUUGCACGAGCUUCAAGAAGCAUAAUGAUCUCUUGAUGCUCUA